CUAAGAAUCUUCCACAAUGGGCGCAAGCCUGAUGGAGCGACGCCGCGUGAAUGAAGAAUGCCGUGAGGUUGUAAAGUUCUUUUCUUACUGAGGAAUAAUGCUUUAAGGGAAUGUGAAGCAGAUGACGUUAAGUAAGGAAUAAGCCCCGGCUAAUUACGUGCCAGCAGCCGCGGUAACACGUAAGGGGCAAGCGUUGUUCGGAAUCAUUGGGCGUAAAGGGCGCGUAGGCGGUUUUGCAAGUCUGGUGUUAAACCCCUCGGCUUAACUGAGGAGGAGCGCUGGAAACGGUAAGACUUGAGUAGCGUAGGGGUACCUGGAAUUCCUAGUGUAGGGGUGAAAUCUGUAGAUAUUAGGAAGAACACCUGUGGCGAAGGCGAGGUACUGGGCGCAAACUGACGCUGAGGCGCGAAAGUGUGGGGAGCGAACAGGAUUAGAUACCCCCGUAGUCC
rnacentral:rRNA from 1 species